UAUUUCUCCGUUCAGGGAAGGAUGAGAAGCUUCGACUAAGGUUCGAUUCGAGCGCAGCGAGAAAGCGUUGCCGCAGGCAACGACCCGAAGGGUGAGGAGCUUUAGCUCCGAAUAAUCCUUCCCCCACCACCA
rnacentral:sRNA from 4 species